UUUGAUCCUGGCUCAGAUUGAACGCUGGCGGCAUGCCUUACACAUGCAAGUCGAACGGCAGCACGGGAGCAAUCCUGGUGGCGAGUGGCGAACGGGUGAGUAAUACAUCGGAACGUGCCCAAUCGUGGGGGAUAACGCAGCGAAAGCUGUGCUAAUACCGCAUAAGAUCUGCGGAUGAAAGCAGGGGAUCGCAAGACCUUGCGCGAAUGGAGCGGCCGAUGGCAGAUUAGGUAGUUGGUGAGGUAAAGGCUCACCAAGCCUUCGAUCUGUAGCUGGUCUGAGAGGACGACCAGCCACACUGGGACUGAGACACGGCCCAGACUCCUACGGGAGGCAGCAGUGGGGAAUUUUGGACAAUGGGCGCAAGCCUGAUCCAGCCAUGCCGCGUGCAGGAUGAAGGCCUUCGGGUUGUAAACUGCUUUUGUACGGAACGAAACGGCCUUUUCUAAUAAAGAGGGCUAAUGACGGUACCGUAAGAAUAAGCACC
rnacentral:rRNA from 1 species